rnacentral:rRNA from 1 species
GACGAACGCUGGCGGCGUGCCUAACACAUGCAAGUCGAACGGAGAUAUAAUUUCGGUUAUAUCUUAGUGGCGAACGGGUGAGUAACGCGUGAGCAACCUGACUCUUAGAGGGGGAUAACACCCGGAAACGAGUGCUAAUACCGCAUAAGACCACGACAUGGCAUCAUGACGAGGUCAAAGGAGCAAAUCCGCUGAGAGAGGGGCUCGCGUCCCAUUAGAUAGAUGGCGGGGUAACGGCCCACCAUGUCAGCGAUGGGUAGCCGAGCUGAGAGGCUGAUCGGCCACACUGGAACUGAGACACGGUCCAGACUCCUACGGGAGGCAGCAGUGGGGAAUAUUGGGCAAUGGGCGCAAGCCUGACCCAGCAACGCCGCGUGAGGGAAGAAGGCUUUCGGGUGUAAACCUCUGUCCUUGGUGACGAAAACAAAUGACGGUAGCCAAGGAGGAAGCCCCGGCUAACUACGUGCCAGCAGCCGCGGUAAAAAUAGCGUACU